rnacentral:rRNA from 1 species
GUGGGGAAUAUUGCACAAUGGGCGAAAGCCUGAUGCAGCAACGCCGCGUGAGGGACGACGGCCUUCGGGUUGUAAACCUCUUUUAGUAGGGAAGAAGCGAAAGUGACGGUACCUGCAGAAAAAGCACCGGCUAACUACGUGCCAGCAGCCGCGGUAAUACGUAGGGUGCAAGCGUUAUCCGGAAUUAUUGGGCGUAAAGAGCUCGUAGGCGGUCUGUCGCGUCUGCUGUGAAAACUGGAGGCUCAACCUCCAGCCUGCAGUGGGUACGGGCAGACUAGAGUGCGGUAGGGGAGAUUAGAAUUCCUGGUGUAGCGGUGGAAUGCGCAGAUAUCAGGAGGAACACCGAUGGCGAAGGCAGAUCUCUGGGCCGUAACUGACGCUGAGGAGCGAAAGCGUGGGGAGCGAACAGGAUUAGAAACCCUGGUAGUCC